GAGGGAGGUAGGGGAGAGAGUGUGUCUAUUUCUGGCUCGGGAGGGGGAGGUGUCUGUGAGCUGAGCCCUGGGGGCACAGAAAGGAUCCCACCAGUUUUUUUCUUUGCUUGCUGCAGAGAGGUGGGGUAUAUGGUUUCCUGCUGCAUCUGGGAAAAUGUAUCCGUGGAGGAGAUUUAGGGGCUCAGGUAAAGGUAUUGAGAAAGGGUAUCUGUGGACACAGGACAGAGAGUUGCCCGGUGGGGUCUUGGGUAGAAACCGGCAGAGCCUGAGGGAAGUUCCCACAAACCACCUUCGGUUUCCCCCUAGGAAAACUCUCUUGGUACCUUCAGUUCCUCUGGGGCACAGUUUGCCCUCAUAAGCCCAGAAGGUAAGGGGCACAGUUACAGGACAGGGUGGUUUAAACAGGGCUCAGGGUUGACAGGGAAGUGGGGGCUGGGAUGUAAAAGGAAGGGGCUAACCCUUGGGAGCAGGAGUCUGAGUCCCCCAUUCUACUUGAUCACAUGACCUUGUCAACGUCAUUGAAGCCUUCUUGCUGUCUGUCGCUCCUACAGUUGUUAUAAUACAGCUUCAUAGGUAAAGGGGCUUUGAAACCCAAGGACUCCAAAGAGACUUGGCAUUGGUCCCUCUGCAGAGCUGCAGGGCCAAUGAAAAAGAUCCUGGAUAUGUCGGUCCCAUCAGCAUAGGAGCUCUCCAAGUGCCACACGCCCAGGGAAUGACAAGAGGUACUGCCUCGGGAAGAGAUUGGCCAGGAAGACAGUGUUCAGAGGCCCUGAGUCCAGAUCUUAGGAGACACAGAGGCAGAGCCAAGACUGUGAGUCCAUGGAGGAAAUAAGCAAGUUGAAGCUGGUCAAAGGAAUAUUGAGUAGUAUCCUGCUAGAACAUGACCAGGCAUAGAGAGGCUGGCCAUAGGGCACACAGAUCCUCAUGCUUCUACCUGAAAUAAGCUCCUAGUUCAAGCAAGCGAAAGAGCAUCUCUCAUCCCACAGACUACUUGUAACAGUGUCACAAACAGCUAGAGUUUGAGAUCCUCCUGCCUCAGCCCCCUGAGUGCUGGGGUUACAGACAAACCAUCGUUUUUAAAGUCCUCAUUCUUAUCCACCUGUCAUCCUGUAAUUGAGUCGAGAUUUCCCUGAUUCAAUGCCGUGGAAAUGUUGCUUUCUCUAAAAUUGCAAUUUAGAAACCAAAGGA